AUUGAACGCUGGCGGCAUGCCUUACACAUGCAAGUCGAACGGCAGCACGGGAGCAAUCCUGGUGGCGAGUGGCGAACGGGUGAGUAAUGUAUCGGAACGUACCUUUCAGUGGGGGAUAACGUAGCGAAAGUUACGCUAAUACCGCAUAUUCUGUGAGCAGGAAAGCAGGGGAUCGCAAGACCUUGCGCUGAUUGAGCGGCCGAUAUCAGAUUAGCUAGUUGGUGAGGUAAAGGCUCACCAAGGCGACGAUCUGUAGCGGGUCUGAGAGGAUGAUCCGCCACACUGGAACUGAGACACGGUCCAGACUCCUACGGGAGGCAGCAGCGGGGAAUUUUGGACAAUGGGCGCAAGCCUGAUCCAGCCAUGCCGCGUGAGUGAAGAAGGCCUCGGUUGUAA
rnacentral:rRNA from 1 species